rnacentral:rRNA from 1 species
GACAGAGGCCUCAAGCGUUAGGCGGAAUCACUGGGCUUAAAGCGUGUGUAGGCGGAUCGUUAAGUGUCUUGUGAAAUCCCACGGCUCACCCGUGGAACGGCUGGGCAUACUGGCGAUCUUGGGCCAACUAGGGGCAACUGGAACAAGCGGUGGAGCGGUGAAAUGCGUAGAUAUCGCUUGGAACGCCAAAGGUGAAAACAGGUUGCUGGGGUUGUG